CCCUUAGAUGUUCUGGGCCGCACGCGCGCUACACUGAUGCAUUCAACGAGUCUAAAACCUGCUCUGAUAGGGGUGGGUAAUCUUUUGAAUGUGCAUCGUGAUUGGGAUAGAUGAUUGCAAUUUUUCAUCUUCAACGAGGAAUGCCUAGUAAACGCAAGUCAUCAGCUUGCAUUGAUUACGUCCCUGCCCUUUGUACACACCGCCCGUCGCACCUACCGAUUGAACGUUCCGGUGAGACCUUGGGAUUUGGUCUUUGAUACUUUAUUGUGUCGUUGACCGAAAAACUUGAGCAAACCUUAACGUUUAGAGGAAGGUGAAGUCGUAACA
rnacentral:rRNA from 1 species